GACGAACGCUGGCGGCGUGCUUAACACAUGCAAGUCGAACGGAAAGGCCCUGCUUUUGUGGGGUGCUCGAGUGGCGAACGGGUGAGUAAAACGUGAGUAACCUGCCCUUGACUUUGGGAUAACUUCAGGAAACUGGGGCUAAUACCGGAUAGGAGCUCCUGCUGCAUGGGGGGGGUUGGAAAGUUUCGGCGGGUGGGGAUGGACUCGCGGCUUAUCAGCUUGUUGGUGGGGUAGUGGCUUACCAAGGCUUUGACGGGUAGCCGGCCUGAGAGGGUGACCGGCCACAUUGGGACUGAGAUACGGCCCAGACUCCUACGGGAGGCAGCAGUGGGGAAUAUUGCACAAUGGGCGGAAGCCUGAUGCAGCAACGCCGCGUGCGGGAUGACGGCCUUCGGGUUGUAAACCGCUUUCGCCUGUGACGAAGCGUGAGUGACGGUAAUGGGUAAAGAAGCACCGGCUAACUACGUG
rnacentral:rRNA from 1 species